GCCACGUAAACAGACCUGCUAGCUGCUGCUCUGCUCUCUGCUAAAUGUAACAUCUGCUCUAUCAUAGAUUAGCACAGGAUGCAACAAUCGUUUAGAGCUUCAGUGAGUUUGCCAGAGCUGUAAGAUGUCGAUGGUGCUGUUCGCCUCGGUGGUCCGGGUCGGGGACGGCCUUCCUCUCUCUGCUUCCACUGACUACGAGCAGGACAAAGAGCUUCAGGAAACCAAGAAGAACAUCAAGGGUCUCUCCAAGAAACUCAGCCAGUUCCCUGACCGCUGCACGCUGAGGACUGGACCCUUCAAUGUCAAGUAGGUCACAAACGCGCUG